rnacentral:rRNA from 1 species
AUCAUGGCUCAGGACGAACGCUGGCGGCGUGCCUAAUACAUGCAAGUCGAACGCGUCUCCGUUAAUGAUUUUAGGUGCUUGCACUUGAAAGAUUUAACAUUGAGACGAGUGGCGAACUGGUGAGUAACACGUGGGUAACCUGCCCUUGAAGUAGGGGAUAACACUUGGAAACAGGUGCUAAUACCGUAUAACAACCAAAACCACCUGGUUUUGGUUUAAAAGACGGCUUCGGCUGUCACUUUAGGAUGGACCCGCGGCGUAUUAGCUUGUUGGUAAGGUAACGGCCUACCAAGGCGAUGAUACGUAGCCGACCUGAGAGGGUAAUCGGCCACAUUGGGACUGAGACACGGCCCAAACUCCUACGGGAGGCAGCAGUAGGGAAUCUUCCACAAUGGACGAAAGUCUGAUGGAGCAACGCCGCGUGAGUGAUGAAGGGUUUCGGCUCGUAAAACUCUGUUGUUGGAGAAGAACAGGUGUCAGAGUAACUGUUGACAUCUUGACGGUAUCCAACCAGAAAGCCACGGCUAACUACGUGCCAGCAGCCGCGGUAAUACGUAGGUGGCAAGCGUUGUCCGGAUUUAUUGGGCGUAAAGCGAGCGCAGGCGGUUUUUUAGGUCUGAUGUGAAAGCCUUCGGCUUAACCGGAGAAGUGCAUCGGAAACCGGGAGACUUGAGUGCAGAAGAGGACAGUGGAACUCCAUGUGUAGCGGUGAAAUGCGUAGAUAUAUGGAAGAACACCAGUGGCGAAGGCGGCUGUCUGGUCUGUAACUGACGCUGA